CCUACGGGAGGCAGCAGUGAGGAAUAUUGGUCAAUGGACGAGAGUAUGAACCAGCCAAGUAGCGUGAAGGAUGACUGCCCUAUGGGUUGUAAACUUCUUUUAUAGGGGAAUAAAAUGUGGCACGUGUGGGAUUUUGUAUGUACCAUAUGAAUAAGGAUCGGCUAACUCCGUGCCAGCAGCCGCGGUAAUACGGAGGAUCCGAGCGUUAUCCGGAUUGAGUGGGUUUAAAGGGAGCGUAGGGGGAUUGUUAAGUCAGUUGUGAAAGUUUGCGGCUCAACCGUAAAAUUGCAGUUGAAACUGGCAGUCUUGUGUACCGUUGAGGUGGGCGGCCUUCGUGGUGUAGCGG
rnacentral:rRNA from 1 species